GAUGAAGAACGCAGCGAAAUGCGAUAAGUAAUGUGAAUUGCAGAAUUCAGUGAAUCAUCGAAUCUUUGAACGCACAUUGCGCCCGUCAGUAUUCUGGCGGGCAUGCCUGUUCGAGCGUCAUUACGCCCCUCAAGUCCCCUGUGGACUUGGUGUUGGGGAUCGGCGAGGCUGGUUUUCCAGCACAGCCGUCCCUUAAAUUAAUUGGCGGUCUCGCCGUGGCCCUCCUCUGCGCAGUAGUAAAACACUCGCAACAGGAGCCCGGCGCGGUCCACUGCCGUAAAACCCCCCAACUUUUUAUAGUUGACCUCGAAUCAGGUAGGACUACCCGCUGAACUUAAGCAUAACAAUAAGCGGAGGA
rnacentral:misc_RNA from 1 species